UGAUCGCGAUUCACGCCCACUUUUACACGACUGACUGACGUCCCAGUGUGUUUACAAUUAUCUCAAUGUUCGGGGACUUGUAGGACAAUAUAGGAACCGCAGUCUCUGAACGGAGCAUCCAAAGGUUACUGGCUUCUUAAAUCGUCGGACAAUUGCAAAAAUGCCGGUGGAAUUCAGUGGAUGGGAGGCAUAUUGUGAUAAAUCAAAGCACCUUAAGCCAGGUCAAGAACCCAAAAAGAAUCAUGGCUACAUUAUGUACCACGGGACUCUCAAAAGCAAUGCCCCAGCCAUCAUAUCAACAGGAUUUCGUCCCUCUUCUGGGGGAACUCUGGGCCCCGGAGUCUACUGUAGUAGAGACAUUAACAAAGCAAUGGGUUACCCAGCAUGUGCUCCCAAUGACCGAGUCGUGUUAAAGCUGCGAGUGAGAGUUGGUAAAGUGAAGAGGAUUGACAGCCAAAGUCUUAACAUGUGGACAUCAUGGCAUCAGAACGGAUAUGAUACGGCCUGGUUACCUGCCACUGGCUCUUUUGUGGCACUUGAGGAGGAUUGUGUUUGGGACCCAAACAGAAUUACUGUGACUGGAAUAGCCCAUUGCACAGACCCCAGUACUAAGGCUUCCCUGGAGAGUCUCAUAAAGCAGAAAAGCCAAUCCCAAGACCCGAAUGGGAAAGGCAUGAAGCUGUGUAAGGGCUGUGGGAUGCAAACACAGGAUAAGCACAAGAUGGAGAAAUGCUGGUCCUGUAGGGCAUCCAUUUGCCCCUUCAUGAAAA
ensembl:processed_transcript